ACCCAUACGUGUCCCCUCCACUGCUGACACAGGGGCUUAUGUCACCCCAGGGCGGGGGGCAGGGGAACCCCAGAGCGGGGGCUCUUGGCUGGCUCCUUCUGCCUUGGCCAUGGCCAACUCCUGAGGAUCCCACCAGCCUCGAGAGUGCGGGAGUGUGGAAGGUUCACUCCUGGGCCGGCCAAGCCUGGCCUCGAUCAAGUCACUUCUUCACUCCAGCACCAGAGAUGUCGUCCGGAGGAGGGGACCUCUGUCUGGCGGCCCUGCCGUCUGGGUUUCUGUUGGCUUCUGUUUAGCUCACAGCACAGGCGAGAGCAGCAGGCCCCGUGUCAGGAAGGAGGCACCUGGGGCGAAGAGGAACGCCAGCAAGGGAAGAUGUCUAAACCGUGAUGACGAGAUCAAAGCCAGAGGAAUUAUGAAACGAGGCUCCAGCAGAUAAAACAAAAUCUGAUUUGGAUUGAGAAAAGCAAAGUCACCUAAAAUGGGAAAAGAGAGCUUCUCAGCCUCGGCCAGUGCCUCUCGGGGAGUCCAGCCGUCCAGGCCACUUGGCGUGGGCAGCUCACCAACUGGGGCAGAGGCUGUGGUGGUGGCACCGGACAGAGGCGCCCCGUGGGGAGACCGGAGUGGAGACUGCAGGGAGGGGCCGCCGGCAGCCGAGCCUGCCAAGAACUGGGGUGUGCGACUCGGGCCCUCGGCCUCUCCCGACCCCACACCAAAGGGCAGAGCCUCAGUUACCCACGCUGGCAGCCAACGGAACUGCAUGCUCAGUCAGAAGAGGGACCUACUAAGUGACACCAGGUGUCCUGAAAAUAACUGCAGAACUACAGGACAGACCUCCCCGGAGAAUGCUAUCUAAGCCUCACGGUGUUUAAAAAUAAUGUU